rnacentral:rRNA from 1 species
AUUGAACGCUGGCGGCAGGCUUAACACAUGCAAGUCGAACGAGUGGCGGACGGGUGAGUAAUGCUUGGGAAUCUAGCCUAUGGAGGGGGAUAACUACGGGAAACGGUAGCUAAUACCGCGUACCAUAGGAUGAGCCCAAGUGGGAUUAGGUAGUUGGUGAGGUAAAGGCUCACCAAGCCGACGAUCUCGAGCUGGUCUGAGAGGAUGACCAGCCACACUGGGACUGAGACACGGCCCAGACGCCUACGUGAGGCAGCAGUGGGGAAGAUUGCGCGAUGGGGGCAACCUGACGCAGCCAUGCCGCGUGAAUGAAGAAGGCCUUCGGGUUGUAAAGUUCUUUCGUUAGCGAGGCGUUACCUGUAGAAGAAGCACCGGCUAACUCCGUGCCAGCAGCCGCGGUAAUAC